AUAUUUGUUGAGCCUUGGGAACACAUUUAUUAAAGUGCGUGCGUGAUAUAUAUCAUAUUUAAUUAAAUUAAAUUUGAAUUUAUAUGAUUAUUGAUGAUAUAUUGAUAUGAGUCUAGGGAUGCAAAUGGAUCCGGGUUGGUGGAGCUCCUGCCACUAUCCACCCCAACGGGGGCAGUAAAUGAAAGAAAAUAAACGGAUUCGGGGUAGGAAACGGGAUAAAUUUUACGAUCCGAGACGGAUUCGGGGCAGAAAACGGGAGAAAUUUUGACCCGCCCCAAAUCCGCUCCGCCAUGAUCCGCUCCGAAUCCGUCCCGAAUCCGCCCUGAAAAUUAUUUAUAUUUUAAAAAAAAUAUUCUUAAAAAAUAAUAUAUUUACAAAAAAGUUCAAAAUACAAAUAAGUUAGUACUCUUAUUUCUAAUGUAUUUGAAACUUAUGAAUUUUGUUUUGAAUUAUGAUUGAUAUUUUUAAUUUUUAUAAUUAAUAUUGUUAAAUUAUAUAUAUAAUAUUAUUAAAAAUUAUUAUUUUAUAUUUUAUAAAAUAUUAAUAAUAUUAUAAUUUUAUAAAAAAUAUUAGUUGGCAGUAGAGAUUCGGGGCGCCGGCGGGAGGCGGGUUACGAGGCAGGGCGGAUUAUGGGAUGUAUUUUUUAACCAGUCACGGAUUCGGAGCAGAGUCUUUGUGUCGAUUGAUUGUUUUUUCUCUUUAU
rnacentral:lncRNA from 1 species